AUGAUGCCGUGUGUCAUUACGUCGUGCCGUUACGUCAUUUCGUCGCGUCGUUACGUCAUCACAUUGCGCCGUAACAUAACUCCGUUGGGGCUCGCUGCCGGCAGCAGUGAGAGGAGCACGCCGGGGAAAUGUUUGCAGGAGGUACGUUGUAGUACGCCGCGGAAUAUCGUAAUUUAAACACUCUGGAACUAAAUGCAUUACAGUAACCUAAUGUUGAAACAUAGGAGCCGACUACCGGAGCCGCUGAUCAUACGAUUCGGAGACCUAGUCUAAAUGAAUCAUGGAAUUGGCCAGGUGAUGGCGAGAAGUAUAAGAGUAUAGUCAAGUUUGAAGAUCCUUGGAAACCUCCACUGCUUUGGUCGGGCUGGUAGGAGGCUCCUUGGCACAGGCGCUCCUCUCUCUCUCUGCCCUUACACUCAAUUAACAUUCCACACCUACAUUACACACAUUCACCCAUUAAUACAGACUGUUCCCUAAAACUUAUUUAUUGUCAAUUUGUAUAUAUAUAUGAUCGGAACUGUACAUAUUGUAUUGUUGUAUAUGAAUGGCCAUUUGUAUUUUGUUAAAUAAUUCUGGUAAUGGUUCACAAUUAUAUGGUGUCACCAAACUUAAA